ACGGCGCAAGUAUCAUGUGACACUUUCGUUGCUCAGCUGUGUGUCGUGAGUGAUGAAAAAGUGAAAGUUUAUGUAAUACUCUCAUCCAGCAGCCGUGUGUCUCGUCUGACGAAGUGAAAUUCUUUUCUCUAUUUUCUAUUAACUUGUCUAAACAGAUAUGGACAUCUUAAACUAUUGUGUGCUAGUUCACAGAAAGCUAACGGUGCGGAAUGUUGUCUCGAUUUUUGUGAUGUCAAUUAAUACACACGUCAUCCAAUAUGUAUAGAACAUCGGUUGUUGCUGGAUACCAAUCAGCCAUGUUUCCUUUGGGCAGUAACAGAAACUUUAAUUAAAGAACAUUUUCUACGUCAAUCCUAGAACUCCAUCAAACGUCAGAAAUCAGAAAGGAGUUCAAAUGACGCCCUAAAACAUUUCCAAAUUCAAAUUGCCUAUACGUGGGACAUGACGAAAAUUAUAAUUCGACAGUAUAUGUAGUUAUCUCUUGACAUACCUUUGUUGUCUCGUGUUAUCAAUACAAAUUGUCGGGUUUUUUCGCAUCAGAGGGUAGCGGAUUUCAAACGGGGGCAGUGUCACGCUGAAUAUACAUGUGGUAUUCAUCACGCCGUGCGGUUGCGGACUUUGCUCGGUCAACCAGGAAAACAAGGCAAUGUUGUUUCGACAAAAGUAAGGCAAGUUGGCUGCUUUCUAAUAUUUCCUUUUAUCGUAUAUAGAGACAUAAGUUAACACGGAUCUCACAAGCUGGCCUACAAAUCGUUGGUUAGGAAUUCAUUUCCACGAUGUCUUCAAUUAACCCCAUAGUUCGUGAUAUCGCCGCAUCUAACCCCGUUGUGUGAAUCAAGAGGAUUUCUCUUGAUUACAGUGAAAGUGAAGCAUCCAUAUUUUAAUGGGAAAACACCUGAGUACUCUGCAUGCUAUCGACAUCUCACGCUAGAAAAAAAAAGCCAACUUUCUAAUUUCUGAUUGUUGUACGUGUAUACAGUAUAUCUUUAUUGCCUAGUGUUUACGUAAUCUUAGAUUUCUCGUGGGAAAAAACUCCGUGAGUCAAAUACAAGAGGCUCAGCCCUGUUGAUGAUCGGCCGAUUCUUCUUAAGAUAAGACCACGUACUUUGUUGCGAAAGAAAUAAAACACCAUUCGUAUUAUUAUUAUGAUUUAUUUACACCUUGUACGAAAUCACGGCGGUAGCCAAUAUUCAAAUAGAGGUUGCAACCAAGACUUCUUAAAGUGAAUUGGGAAUGAAAUAUGAGUCAAAGAGGUAAUAAAACUUUUGAAUAA